UGGGGAAUAUUGCACAAUGGGGGAAACCCUGAUGCAGCAACGCCGCGUGCGGGAUGACGGCCUUCGGGUUGUAAACCGCUUUCAGCCAUGACGAAGCUUUUGUGACGGCUGUGGUAGAAGAAGCACCGGCUAAUUACGUGCCAGCCGCCGCGGUGAUACGACGGCUGCGACCGUUGUCCGGAAUUAUUGGGCGUAAAGAGCUUGUAGGCGGUUUGUCGCGUCGAAAGUGUAAACUCCGUGCUUAACGCUGGGCCUGCUUUCGAUACGGGCUUGCUAGAGGAAGGUAGGGGAGAAUGGAAUUCCCGGUGGAGCGGUGGAAUGCGCAGAUAUCGGGAGGAACACCAGUGGCGAAGGCGGUUCUCUGGACCUUUCCUGACGCUGAGAAGCGAAAGCGUGGGUAGCAAACAGG
rnacentral:rRNA from 1 species